CCAGUUUCUCUCUCCUCCAUUUUCACUUUCUGUCUCCUUCGUGAUUCUCUCUCCUCCGUUUUCGCUCUCCCUUCGUGAUUCCCUCUCCUCGCCGCCACCGUGUCUCCCCCACCUGCUGCAACCACCGCGCCGCCACCGUCUCUACGCUUACGUCCUCUGUAUAUGCGUCUUCUCCUCUAUUCUAUUGCAAUUGAAUGAAUAUCUGUGACAGUUUGGCAGUUAUAUCUCGCACAUUUUAAGAGAUCUGAGAAUCAAAAUGAAGGUCAAAUUAUAUCAUCAUUUACAGGAGAAUCAGCAAUAGGAGGUUGUUCCUGUUGCUGAAGCUGGCCAUCUUUAUCUUCCUGCACAACUGUUGUCAGAUUUGGAGACGGGGUUUCGACAACAAGAGGAGGUGGAAGUUGUUCAUCAUUAACUUCCUGGACAAAUGAUGUCGUAUUUGGAGGCAGAAAUUCAACAACAGAGGGUGGUGGGAAUUCGGAAUCUGACGACAGCAAUGGCGAAGUUGUAGGAUUUGAUGUUGUAUUUACAUCAACCUCCUUCAAUAAACUGACAGAAGGGGUUGGAAAAUCAUUAACCGACAACGGAUUCGUCGUGGUUCUGGUUGUUGAAUUAAGGUUAAUAAUCCUAAGGUACUCAAAGUUAUUAGUCUGUUGUGGGUACUUAAUGUAAAGCAGAGAGAAGAAGGAAAUUGCAAAGAAAGCCGUAAUCAAGUAAAUUGAUGCAAAGGAUGAAGGAAAGGAAGAGAAACACUUCCGGUUUGAGCUCGACAUUUUGUGCUCUAUGAGAAGAACAGGAGAAGAAGAGAAGAAAGGUAAGGUUCAGUCAAGAAACCUGCAUUAUGUUUCUUGGUUGAUUAUGAACCUUAAUUCCUUUUUUAAAUGGUAAUUUAUUUUUAUAAGUAAUUUUUGCAAUUGAUUUGACAGAGUGUACAGGAAUAUGUCCUUUGAAGAUUAUCCAAGCAUGAUAUAAUUGGUUAAUAUAACUCUAAUUCAUGGAAACCAUGGUAUUUAUAUAUUGACUUGUAUCCACUGACUUUAACUUUAGCUGGGAGAGAAUUACACUCUAUUGUUUUUAAUAUUUACAUUUGCUUCUUUCCAUUACUAUUAAUGGUUUCUGUAAUUUUUGUUAGAGUUGUCUAGAGAUGCAUUGUAUUCAGAAGGUUACCAUGUUAUUGGAGGCUAUUUAUCCCCUGUGAACGAUGCAUAUAAGAAGGUAUGCAUCAUAUUUGUUGAUUAUGCCUACAACCUUGGGAUAUCUAGAUUGUUAUUGUAUGACUUAUUGGCUAACUCCAUGCAUAACAGUGAGAUGAAUUUACAUGAUUUAUUAGACAUUAAAUGGCUGCCUGUUUGUCAAUAAAGUUCCAAUUUUAUGUUGUAUGUGCAUAUGGAUCCUGUCGAGUAUGAAAGUAAACAUUGCAAGUAUCACAGGUUACCAAUAUUAGAAAAAUUAGAGGCAAUUUGAACAUGAAAGAUAAGAAAUAUCAAUUCAUUGUAACUUGGAGCAAUUUGAACAUGAAAUGUAAGAAGUAUGCAAUCUGAGUUUGCAACAAAUUAGAGUCCAACCCAGUAACAUAAAGGAGAAACAAAAACAAAAGCAUUCUCUACUCUGGUAUUAAAAGGCCCAUCUACUUGAGAUAACCUUUGGGAAGAAAUGUGGGAAUUAAAUGAGUGUGCAUUAACUAAGAUAGACCAGUCAUGACUCAUGAAGCAGCUAAGAGUUUCUUAUCUCUGCCUAGUCAAUUCCGUCGGCUGCAGGAGUUUCUCUGGACAUUUCGGUUUCCUACUACCAAAAGGCUACCACACUUGAUGCUGCCCUGCAUAAGAUAAUGUAGCUCUGAAGAACUUUAAUCUGCCUUCAGAAAGGAGUCCAAAAUGUGUUUACCUGUGGACAAUUUGGUAUUUUAGCCGUUUUUAGUAGUCUAACUGCAAUGAUAAACCGCGCUGAAGCUUGGAACACUAGCAAAUGAAGCAUCGUGUUGAGAUUGAUUCCCAGAACAGCUUUUGUUCAGAAUUUUGCGAGGCGCCUAUAUAUUUCAUCGAUAUGUUCAGAUGAUCGUAAUUAUAGUAUUAACCACUUUACUCGACUGUUGUCAUCGGUUAUCGGUUGGGUGGAUUAUUUGUCCUAAAAGGGUGCAUCCCUUGUUGAAAUGUUACAACUGUGAACAUAUACAUCAUACCUUUCAAAAUUAUUAUUUUUCAUUUUUGUUAGAAAUGAAGAUUA